UCCGGUUUGAAACCGGCGGUCCCGGUAGACAUAGUAACUACCAGCGAGGGUUGCGCUCGUUGCGGGACUUAACCCAACACCUCACGGCACGAGCUGACGACAGCCAUGCAGCACCUGAGCAGGAUGGUAUUGCUACCUCGUUGGGCUUUCACCCUUCUACUACCUGCAUGUCCAGCCUGGGUAAGGUUCUUCGCGUUGCGUCGAAUUAAACCACAUGCUCCACCGCCUGUGCGGGCCCCCGUCAACUCCUUUGAGUUUCAACCUUGCGGCCGUACUUCCCAGGCGGAAUACUUAAUGCGUUAGCUGCGGCACCGGCGGUAACCCGCCGACACCUAGUGCGCACCGUUUACGGCGUGGACUAC
rnacentral:misc_RNA from 1 species